CAAUGUGCAGACGGCUUCAGUGUUUUGGCUUAAUAAGGAACAAUGUGCAAUUCAUUGGCAGCUUAUCCCUGAGGUAAGGCGGACAAAAUUUCAGAUACCAUUGCAGAGAAUUCUGUGAGAAGGUGAAAUGGCGGGAGAUGCCAAGCCCUAAGACUUGCUGAAGUCAUCUUACGAUU
rnacentral:ncRNA from 2 species